rnacentral:rRNA from 1 species
UACGUAGGGUGCAAGCGUUGUCCGGAAUUAUUGGGCGUAAAGAGCUCGUAGGCGGUUUGUUGCGUCGGCUGUGAAAACCUGAGGCUCAACCUCAGGCCUGCAGUCGAUACGAGCAGACUAGAGUGUUGCAGGGGAGACUGGAAUUCCUGGUGUAGCGGUGAAAUGCGCAGAUAUCAGGAGGAACACCGGUGGCGAAGGCGGCUCACUGGACCGGAACUGACGCUGAGGCGCGAAAGCGUGGGGAGCAAACAGG